rnacentral:rRNA from 1 species
AAGAUCUGACGGAGCAAUGCCGCGUGAGUGAAGAAGGUUUUCGGAUCGUAAAACUCUGUUGUUAGAGAAGAACAAGGAUGAGAGUAACUGCUCAUCCCCUGACGGUAUCUAACCAGAAAGCCACGGCUAACUACGUGCCAGCAGCCGCGGUAAUACGUAGGUGGCAAGCGUUGUCCGGAUUUAUUGGGCGUAAAGCGAGCGCAGGCGGUUCUUUAAGUCUGAUGUGAAAGCCCCCGGCUCAACCGGGGAGGGUCAUUGGAAACUGGAGAACUUGAGUGCAGAAGAGGAGAGUGGAAUUCCAUGUGUAGCGGUGAAAUGCGUAGAUAUAUGGAGGAACACCAGUGGCGAAGGCGACUCUCUGGUCUGUAACUGACGCUGAGGCUCGAAAGCGUGGGGAGCAAACAGGAUUAGAUACCCUGGUAGUCCACGCUGUAAACGAUGAGUGCUAAGUGUUGGAGGGUUUCCGCCCUUCAGUGCUGCAGCUAACGCAUUAAGCACUCCGCCUGGGGAGUACGACCGCAAGGUUGAAACUCAAAGGAAUUGACGGGGCCC